rnacentral:tRNA from 1 species
GCCCUGGUAGCUCAAUUGGUUAGAGCGUCGGACUUUUAUGUUCGUUCUUAAUUGCACAUCCGAAGGCUGCGGGUUCGACCCCCGCCUGGGGCG